rnacentral:rRNA from 1 species
CCUUCGGGUACAAUUGAGACAGGUGGUGCAUGGUUGUCGUCAGCUCGUGUCGUGAGAUGUUGGGGUUAAGUCCCGCAACGAGCGCAACCCUUGUGUUUAGUUGCAAACAGGUCAAGCUGUGCACUCUAGACAGACUGCCGUGGACAACACGGAGGAAGGUGGGGAUGACGUCAAAUCAUCAUGCCCCUUAUGAUCUGGGCUACACACGUGCUACAAUGGCCGGUACAACGGGCAGCGAAGGAGCGAUCCGGAGCGAAUCCUAAAAAGCCGGUCCCAGUUCGGAUUGCAGGCUGAAACUCGCCUACAUGAAGUUGGAGUUGCUAGUAAUCGCGAAUCAGAAUGUCGCGGUGAAUGCGUUCCCGGGUCUU